rnacentral:lncRNA from 1 species
UUUGCAUUUGCGAUAUCUCUCUAAUAAUAAUAGUGAUUUCAACUUUCAACAUGUGGAGAAAAAGGCAGAUUGAAACAUUAAUAGAGUUUUACAAAUCGAAUCAAUGAUCAAUGUUUGUAUGUGCCAAAGCACCCUCUCUAUAGAAUAGGAACGCACGAAUUAAAGUUUUGGAAGAAAUAAAGGCAGAAUUAGCCAAACUAGGUGUGGAAACAUGAAACAUCUUAUUAUGAAUGUAUAUGUAUGUGAUCGUCAAAAAAUUAUUUUUCAAAACAAGAUAGAGAAAGAGCUUUAAAAUCCCAAGGACCCUGCAAAAUGUUUAUUUGGCGUACUAGUCGAAUAAUAGUAUCUAAAAAUAUUGAAACUGUUUUAAAACACAUUAUAGGCAUGAGGAUGAUAUAGAGCACUUACAUAAAUACCAAAAUCAGAUAAAUAUCUCUUCAAAGUUUAUUUUGAGACUUUCUUCAAAAAUUAAACUUCAGACUGUUCAGGAUAGCAUAAUAGCAUAGGAGGCGAAUUAAAAAGAAUUAAUUUACUUACAAGAAAAGAUAUCACAAACAUUAAACUCUCUUAUGGCAUUGAUUUGAAAGAUGGGUAUAUGUACAAGGAUGAUGCAACCAGUGUUUAUUUUUGGGUUGAAUGCUUACAGACUCAUGUCCAAUAUUAUUUUACAAACAACAGGGCAUACUAAUGGAUAUUCAUUCUGAAUUUAACAUUUAUGAUUUUUGUCUUAUUUUCCUUAAUACUGUGCCAAAAGGAAAUGUUAAUUAAGUUUGGCAAAUCCUUUAUCGCAAUCGAUGGAACUCAUGGGCUCAAUUCCUAUGACUUUGAACUUAUGACAGUAUUAGUAAAAGAUGAAUUUGGGAAUGGAUUUUGUACUGCUUUCUUAUUUUCAAAUAGAAAAGAUACCUACUUUAAUUUACCAAUUUUUUUAAAUACAUGUCUGUGUUGGUAUUAUAUGUAUAGUCAAAUGUUUUCAUAUCAGGCAUAAGUGACACCUUUUACAAUGCCUCGUCAAAUGUAAUGGGUAUUGCUCCUAAUAGACUGUUAAGUGCCUGGCACAUAGAUAGGGCAUGGUAAGUAAAUCUUAAUAAAAUAUCUGAUUCUGAAAAAAAUCCUAUUAUAUAUACAAGAUGUAUUAAUGAUGGUUCAGAGAGUAUUAAUAGCUUUUUGGGUAGACUUCUAAGUGAUGCAGAUACAUACAAUUUUAAUAAGUAUUUCCAGUAGAACUACUGCAAUAACAUCCAACAAUGGGCCUAUUGUUAUAGGAAGGGGUUGUGGAAUUAAUACCAAUAUGACCAUUCAAAAUUUUCAUAAAAUUUUGGAUAAAAGGGUAUCCAUUAGUUGUUAUCAGUUAAGUUUAAAACUUGGCACUCAUGGAGAGCUAUACUCUAUACCAUAAUAUAUAAUAGGUAUAUUACAUCUCAUAUUGCUCACUCAUUACAAUAGUGAGCAAUAGAAGAUAUAACAUAUUAUAGUAUAAGUCUCUGUGCAUGACCAGAUUAACAUGUUUGGUGCCCAUCUCGAACAAGCUCCACUUGGCUGGUACCACAUACUUAAAUCAUUUAUUUAGUUACACAGUACUACUCACAUAACUUAUGUGUCGUCAGUACCUUCCAUAAAACCUUCGUGAUGCUACUCAUACUUCAUGGCCACUGAAUGUGUUAAAGCUUGUUAAUGUAGGAGAGUUAUACUAAAAUAUAUAUCUUAUAUUAUAUUGCCUUAAAUAGAAAAAAUAUCUUAUUUAAAUUGUAUCCAUGUAAGUUUUUAUUUAAUGAAAUAAACCUUUUAAUCAAAAAAGUGUUGUUU